rnacentral:lncRNA from 1 species
UUAAAUGUCACAAAAUUUUACUUAUCUUGUAGCUUUAGCUUUCUAGUUUGUUAAAAUGAAAGAGAACCGAACAUUUUUCUACAAAGCGAUAUUAUAAAUUAUUCUAAUGUACAAAUAAGGAGAUUGAACUCGGAUGUAAAAAAGCGAAUACACAAUCUUAGUAACUAGCCUAAUCCACGUUUACAAAGAAAACCAACAUUAUAUAUAAAAGUGCCUAUCCCAUACGUGUCGCCUCCUUGCACUUUGCCCUACAGAGGAGACACGUUGUGUUAACACCUAUACCUGCACUGGAUUUAUCUCAAGCCCACAGGCCACGUGUACACUCUUCUUCUUUUCUGUUCUUUUCUUUUAUAAAAAGCCUCAUGGAUUGAAAACAAUGUACACAUCCAACCCAAUAGACAUAUACAAUAAACCCUAAUAUUUUAUACAAAGACGGAGGCAAUGGAGGCUCACAAAGAGAGAAGAGAGCAGAUGAUGGAGGAAGAGUCAAAGAGAAAAGAAGGAGGAAAGAAGAAUGGUGCUGCUGGGUCUGCAGAAAGCUUGUGCAAGAAGAAAACCAAUGAUGGAUUUGACCCAGCGGCCAAAGCAAUCAUUGAAGAAUGCAUAAUCAGCCAUGAGGGUGAAGAGGGUGGUGGAAGAGCUAAAAACCCCGAUGAUGUUCUUGCCUUUUCCAGAUCUGUUAACAAAAUUGACUCUUCACUUGAGUGACUGAGUGAGUGUGACAAGUUUUGUGUUAGUGCGUGACGUUUUGCAAGAUUCAACAUCAUCGCAUGCAUAUUAUUACGUGUACGUGUAAUUUUUUUUUUUGACACUGAGGAAUUAAAUACUUCAUGUUUCAAGUUUACAGGAAGGAUUUGUAAUUUAAAUGGUUAAUAGCAGUUAUUUUUGUAUUUGAGUUAUUGUACUAAUAUCGUUGCUAUAAAAGUAAACAAAUUAAAUAGAAAAACCCUCCAUAUUUAAAUAGUGGACAUGUUUUAUGGGUUUUGCAAUCCAACAACUCCAAUGCUAAAAUAUUUUUUUUUCAAACUCAAAUACAGAUGCUAAAAAUAACUUCUUCGCAACUCAAAUACGGUUGGAGUCAUCAUAUAAUUAUAAGCGAAAUUGAAAGAAGGAGAAAUUCGAAAUAUGUAGAAUAGAGAAAAUUAAAACAUACACGUGAGUAUUCUAUUAUUUUAAUAAAAGCGAGACUAGAAGAAGGAGAAAAUCGAAACAUAUAAAAAUCGGAACACCUUAAUACAAAUGAGACGAAACUGGAGAAGGAGAAAAUCAAACAUAGAACCUAGGUGAAUUCAAAUCCUGAUGUUUUUUUAAUUAAUAAAUUUAAAUGGAGGUAUGAAAUAAACAUAAGUUUGACUGCAAAGACAACAUUAUCAUUGGUUGUCCAGAAAAAAAAAAAAGUAGUAAUCACUUAUUGAAGUAGCGAAGGUACCAGACCCCGUGCCAGACCCCAUACGUGUCUUGUCCUGAAAACAUGGUGAAAUUAUUUUAUGUAUAUUCCCUCGACUUUCUCCGAUAGGAACAAAAAUGCAUGGCUGGUUUGAAAAGACAUAACAAAUGAAUAACGUUUGUUACAAAUGAAAUGGAAUGCAUCAAUCAAAGACAAAGAGGUACAAAUUGGAUCCAAAUAGAACAAUUUCCUCUGAGUCAUCAAAUACCAAGUAAUGUAUAUCUAGAAAAUAUAUAAAAAGGAAGUUUUCCAUCACAUAAUUGAGAGGAUAAGAUCAAAAAUUCUUGGCCAUACCAAAUGGUACUUUAUAUAUCCCACAGAUGAAUCCUUGGACAGACAGACUGUUAUGGGACAAGAUCACUUGAUGGCUAUUCUUCCUCUUUGUUUGAUGAAGAAAACCCCCCACAAUCCCAGGAGAGCAUGAGGUAUCAGAUCUUCAAGUAAAUCCCAGACACGUGGAUCAAACCCACAAAACUACACAUAAAUCAUUGGUUUGGCCUUGGACUAAUUACCCAAAUACUAGCUAGUUACGUUCUUCUUUGUACCUUCGCCUUCCACCUUCUUCCUUCCACGUCUCAUCUUGUAACGUGGUUUUGCUAGCUGAUUGGAUCCGUCUUCUUUUCAUGUCGCCACCAUUUU